UAUCCUGCUUAAAAAAUGAAGAUGACACACCUUAACCAGGUGAAGAAGUGAAAGAGAAAAGGGUAGAGGACGACAUUCUGUGGCUUUCCCUGUAUUAUUACCCUCAGUGAACCUGUAUGGACACACAUUUUGGGUAAAUGACAGCAGGUGAACACUAAAAUGAGUCUAAAGAAGAGAGAAGAUGAGGACUCUGACUCUGAAAUGAGUUCUGCAUCUCCUGGAUCAAUCUGUGGAUCUGUAGAGAGUGAUGGGUCCAUUGAGAAAACUCCUCCUGCCCUCAAUAAUGCAUCAGUGACCUCUGACCUCAGUGUAAUCAGGAGGAAGAGACCGAGAUCAGAGUCUCCAAAGCCCAGUGGUGUUUCUCUGAAGAGUGACAGAUCUAUGAAUUUUCCUCCGCUAUUAAGUGUUGAACCAGUGACCUCUGACCCGCAGAGAAAAAAGAUACGUAAGCUGAUCACACCAGUUCCAAACUCAACACCCAACUAUCAGACUCCCAUUAUACAGGACAACACUGAUGCACACAUGCUAGAGACUGGAGACCUGCAGAGAGUCAAAGACCAGCACAAAACCAACAUGAAGAAUAAAUAUGAGAGAUUAUUUGAGGGAAUCAAACUCCAAGAGAAUCAAACCCUCCUGAACCGCAUCUACACCCAGCUGUACAUCAUAGAGGGAGAGAGUGAAGGAGUGAAUGAAGAACAUGAGGUUUUACAGAUGGAGAAAACAGCCAGAACAAAACACUCCCAACACACUCCAAUCUACUGCAAUGACAUCUUUAAAGAGGAGAAAGAGCAAAUCAAGACUGUUCUUACUAAAGGCAUCGCUGGAAUCGGAAAAACCGUCUCUGUGCAGAAGUUCAUUCUGGACUGGGCCGAGGGAAAAGCCAAUCAGGAUGUAGAUUUCAUGUUUGUGCUUCCAUUUCGAGAGCUGAACUUGAUCAGAGAUCAUCAGUACAGUCUUCACAGACUUCUGCUGGACUUUCAUCCUGAACUUGAAGAUCUGGAGCCCAAGAUUUAUGAGGAGUGUAAAGUUGUGUUCAUCUUUGAUGGUCUGGAUGAAAGCAGAAUCACACUGAUGUUUUCAGACGCUCAGAAAGUUUGUGAUGUGACUGAGACUUCAUCAGUGGCUGUGUUGAUGUCAAAGCUGAUGAAAGGAGAGCUGCUUCCCUCUGCUCUCAUCUGGAUCACCUCCAGACCAGCAGCAGCCAAUCAGAUCCCCUCCAAAUACAUCAAGCGUCUGACAGAAAUUCAGGGAUUCACUGAGCCUCAGAAGGAGGAAUAUUUCAGGAAGAGAAUCAGUGAGCAGCAUCAAGCCAGCAGAAUCAUCUCACACAUCAGAAGAGCAAGAAGCCUCCACAUCAUGUGCCACAUACCCGUCUUCUGCUGGAUCUCAUCCACUGUGCUUCAGAAGCUUCUGGAAGAAGAUCUGAGUGCAGAAAUCCCUCAAACUCUGACUGAAAUGUACAUCCACUUCCUGCUGAUUCAGAUCAACAUGAGGAAUCAGAAGUAUGAAGAGAGAGAUCCAGAGAAACUCCUGCAGUCCAACAGAGAAGUGAUUGUCAAACUUGCUGAAGUGGCUUUCAGACAGCUGAUGAAGGGCAAUGUGAUGUUCUAUGAGGAGGACCUGAUUGAGAGCGGCGUAAAUGUCACUUAUGCCUCAGUGUAUUCUGGGAUUUGCACUGAGAUCUUAAGGGAAGAAUCUGUGUAUCAGCAGAGGAAAGUCUACAGCUUCAUCCAUCUGAGUGUUCAGGAGUUCCUCGCUGCUUUCUAUGUGUUUUACCACAACAUAAGCAACACCACAGAGGCAUGUUUAGAUUCACUGCAUGAUUUACAGAGAAGAGCAGUAGAUAAAGCCACUGAGGGUAAGAGUGGUCAUCUGGAUCUGUUCCUGCGGUUCCUGCUGGGCGUCUCACUGGAGUCCAAUCAGAGACUCUUCCAGGAUCUACUGACACACACAGAGAAGAGCUCAGAGAGCAUCAGGAGAAGCACACAGUACAUUAAAGAGAAGAUCAGAGAUGGACAUGGACUCUCCACUGAAAGAUCCAUCAAUCUGUUCCUCUGUCUGCUGGAAGUGAAAGAUCAGACUCUGUCCAGAGAGAUUCAGGAGUUUGUGAAAUCAGACAAACAGUCAGAGAAGAAACUCUCUCCUGCUCACUGCUCAACAAUCGCCUACAUGCUUCAGAUGUCAGAGGAGGUGCUGGAUGAGCUGGAGCUCCAGAAAUACAACACAUCAGAUGAGGGCAGAAGAAGACUGAUACCAGCCGUCAGCAACUGCACAAGAGCUCUUCUUGCUGGCUGUAAUCUCUCUGCUCAGGAUUGUGAAAUUGUGUCGUCAGUUCUUCAAUCCUCAAACUGUGUCCUGAGAGAGCUGGACCUGAGUAACAAUGACCUGCAGGAUUCAGGAGUGAAGCUGCUCUCUGAUGGACUGAAGAGUCCAAACUGUCAGCUGGAGAUACUGAGGUUGUCUGGCUGUAUGGUGACAGAGGAAGGCUGUGGUUUUCUAUCUUCAGCUCUGAGUUCAAACCCCUCACACCUGAGAGAGCUGGAUCUGAGCUACAAUCACCCAGGACAAUCAGGAGUCCAGCUGCUCCAACACACACUGGAGGAUCCACACUACACACUGCAGAAACUCAAUUUAGAGAGUGGAGGAGACUUCAGAAUCACAUCAGGAUUAAGAAAAUAUGCUUGUCGCCUCUCACUGGAUCCAAAUACUACACAUAGUCGUCUCAUCUUGUCUGAAGGGAACAGAAGAACAUCACGUGUGAAAGAUCAUCAAAUUUAUCCUGAUUAUCCAGAGAGAUUCGAGCACUAUGAGCAGGUUCUGUGUAAAGAGACUCUGACUGGACGCUGUUACUGGGAGGCUGAAUGGAGCGGCUGGGGUCAUGUUGCAUUGUCAUAUAAAGGAAUCUGCAGGAAAGGAGGAAGCGACUGUCGGUUUGGACUCAAUGAAAAGUCCUGGAGUCUCUAUUGUUGUGAUGAUAGUUACACUUUUUGGCACAAAAAUAAGAGCACAAACAUCCCUGCUCCAUCAUCUCGUACUAAUAGAGUAGGAGUGUAUGUGGACGUGCCGUCCGGUUCUAUGUCUUUCUACAGCAUCUCUGACACAAACACACUCACACACUUACACACAUUCAACACCACAUUCACUGAAGACCUCUAUGCAGGAUUCAGAGUUCAUCCUGAUUCUUCAGUGACUCUGUGUGAGCUUUAAAAAACACUUUAAAGACAUGAAGAAGUAGAAACAAAGAAAUGUUUGUAUAGAGUAGUAGUUCUUAGCAUGUUCAAUUCAAUGGGUAGCAUGCAACUCAUGAUUAAUUAAUUUAAUAACCCUACACCCUUGUGGAAUAACUGAAAACACAGCAAUCAGUGCUAUAGCGCAAAUACAUUUUUUUAAUGUGCAGCAUGUAGGAUUGACCAUGUGGUUGAAGUAGGUAUUGCAGUCCAAAUUCAAUGUAUUGGAGAGGGUUCUUUUCCAGGUUUUUUUUGCCAGGUAGACAACAUAAACAUGAUCGAGCAUGCCUGACAACCAAGUCUUACAUUGUAAGCUGCUCAGCUAAUGUUUACAUUUGUAAUUUUUGAAUUGUUUGCUAAAUAAAAAAAACACCUCAUGUGGAUUUAAAUAACUGAAUCUCAUUUCGGAGACUGCUACUGCCUUCUGAAGGUGGGCAUUUUCGGCUGCGUCUGCAUACAUUGAUGCAUCCUUAAUGACUGAAAUGUAAUACGGUGCGUUUUCCAUCAGGGCAACCCAGGGUGCUUAAAGGUGCUGUAAGUUUUUGACUCUUCUAAAGCAUGCUCAGUGAACUUUCUUGUUUGUCUGAAAACUGUGCUGAAGUCUUUUUUCUGUGCCAGAACGUUGUCUUUGUUUUGGUCAUUUUAACCUGCCCAAUGAUUGUUUAGCCAGUUAUACUUCAGCACCCCGGGUUGCCUUGGUGGAAAACUGCAUAUUUAAUUAAUU